UACGUAGGGUGCAAGCGUUAAUCGGAAUUACUGGGCGUAAAGCGUGCGCAGGCGGUUGUGCAAGACAGAUGUGAAAUCCCCGGGCUCAACCUGGGAAUGGCGAUGGAGACUGCAAGGCUAGAGUUUGGCAGAGGGGGGUAGAAUUCCACGUGUAGCAGUGAAAUGCGUAGAUAUGUGGAGGAACACCGAUGGCGAAGGCAGCCCCCUGGGUCAAAAACUGACGCUCAUGCACGAAAGCGUGGGGAGCAAACAGG
rnacentral:rRNA from 1 species